rnacentral:rRNA from 1 species
AUGGUGACGUUCACGGCACGCCGGAGCGAGCCCGAGCUGGUGCGCCCGGCGCGGCCGACGCCCGUCGAGACCAAGGCCCUCUCCGACCUCGACGACCAGUGGUCGCUGCGCUUCUACGAGUCCAUCGUCGGCUUCUUCCGCAGCCCGCCCGGCGAAAGCGUCAAGCCGGGCAAAGUGGCCAAGGGCAUCAAGGCCGCCGUGGCGGCGGCUCUGGUGUACUACUACCCCAUGGCUGGGCGUCUGCGGAAGCUCCCCGAGGGAAACAAGCUGGUGGUGGACUGCACGGGGGAAGGGGUGAUGUUCGUGGAGGCCAGCGCAGACGUGCGGCUGGAGGACCUCGGCCAGCCGUUGGUGCCGCCGUACCCGUGCGUCGAGGAGUUCCUGGGAGACGCCGGUGACACCAGGGAUGUGCUUGCCAAGCCUCUGCUUUUCCUGCAGGUGACACAACUCAAGUGUGGAGGAUUUGUUAUUGGGCUUCACAUGUGCCAUUGCAUUGCUGAUGGUUUUGGUAUCCUCCAAUUUAUCAAAUCCAUAGCCGAUUUUGCAUGUGGUGAACUCAUCCCAACCACUUUGCCCGUAUGGAAACGAGAUACCUUCACAGCACGUAUGCCACCCUCUAUCACGCAUGUCUACCCAGCAUAUAAAACAUUUAUUCAGGGGUUGGACUGCACGGGAGAUGACGUGAUGCUAUCAACUCCCCCGCAAAGCAUGGAAGUGCAAUAUUUAUUUUUUGGACCGAAAGAAGUAGCAAUUUUAAGGAGCCACCUCCCAGAACACCUUUCCAAAUCCACCACAACUUUUGAGUUGCUUACGACUGUUAUGUGGCGGUGUCGCACAUUGGCACUUGGUUAUGGAUCUAGUCAGAAAGUGCGUAUCAUGUUUACUUUAAAUACACGUGGGAGAAGCAUUAAUGGUGAAAGCAUUGUCCCACGUGGUUACUAUGGAAAUGCACAUUUUUCUCCCAUGGUCGAGAUCACCGUCAAUGAGCUUGUUACAAAGCCCUUUGAACAAGUACUUGAGCUGAUACACAAAGUCAAGUUAGGCACCACAAAGGAUUGCAUGAAGUCAAUGGUUGAUUUGAUGGCAUUAUGGCGAGAUCGUUCACCUUUCGGUAUGGACAGAACAUAUGAAGUUAGUGAUACAAAGUGGGUUGGAGGCAAUGCAUUGAAAUUUCGGAAGGCCGAGCUAGUUGCUGCUGGCACACCACAUGCUGGUGACUUCACGUCAAAGUUGAUUAGCUAUCAUACCAAGUGCAAGAAUAAAGACGGUGAGGACUCAACCGUGGUAUCAAUCUUAUUACCUAAACCUGCAAUGGUGAAGUUCACAGAAGAGAUGGCGAUUUGGUUGAAGAAGUAG